UCCUUUUCAUAGCUGUGAGCUUUGUUUUUAUCUCUCUUCUGUCUUUCAGUUGGCAAGGCUGCUCUAGGAGGAGAAAACUGAGGUUUCCCGCAGCAGCCGAUUUAACUUUAGCUUUGGGAAAUGAUCCAAUCAAAACUAAUCCAGAAGUUGCUCAACAUGUAACUGAGGAGUGCUUGAGGUCAAAGAGCUUCAUCAUGGAGAAACUUGGUAUUAGUCACUGUCACUGAUUCAUGUUUAAAUAAUCAGUUGUUCAACUUGUAACACUUUAAGUGAAGUAAGCAAAAGCUCUUAUCAUCCAUCUAAAAUUCCCAAAUACUAAAGUUGUUCAGUCUUUGUUCAGUUGUACAGAAAAACUAAUAAACCUUAUCAACUAAAAAUAUGUUAAAAAUGCACUGCAAAUUUUUAACUUAAUUUUACUUUUUGAAAGAUUUUAAACUCAUUUUAAGUUAAUAAACCAACUGAUUAAUAAAUAAUUGAUCAGGUAACAACUCCUGAGCUAAAGCACUAUUCUAGGAACAUUUGUGUGUCUGUGUGUUUAAUAUUGUGUUCAUUUUUCUGUGUCCGACAAAUAGAACUGUAAUGUUGGUGUAUCUGUGUUAUUGUGAUG